rnacentral:rRNA from 1 species
UACGGAGGGGGCGAGCGUUAUUCGGAAUUAUUGGGCGUAAAGGGCGCGUAGGCGGACAAGUAAGUCAAAGGUGAAAUCCCUCGGCUCAACUGAGGAAUUGCCUUUGAAACUGCGUGGCUUGAGGCCGGGAGGGGGUAGCGGAAUUCCCAGUGUAGCGGUGAAAUGCGUAGAUACUGGGAGGAACACCAGUGGCGAAGGCGGCUACCUGGACCGGUUCUGACGCUGAUGCGCGAAAGCGUGGGGAGCAAACAGG